GCACUGGCCACACAGGGUGCAGAGGUGGACAGCAGAGGCCACCCCACCACCUCUCCCGCAUGACUCCUGACGUGGCUGCCUUGCCAGCCUGGAGCCUCAGGGACGGGCUCCCAGACAUGACAGCCAUCAUCAAAGAGAUCAUUGCCAGAAACAAAAGGAAAUAUCAAGAGGAUGGAUUCGACUUAGACUUGACCUGUAUUUACCCAAACAUUAUUGCCAUGGGAUUUCCUGCAGAAAGACUUGAAGGCGUAUACAGAAACAAUUCUGAUGAUGUGGUAAGGUUUUUGGAUUCAAAGCAUAGAAACCAUUACAAGAUAGACAAUCUUGAAAUGUCUGAAAGACAUUGUGACACUGCCAAAUUUAACAGUAUCCUUUUGAAGACCCACCACAGCUAAAACUUAUCAAACCUUUUCAUAAAGAUCUUGACCGCUGGCUAAGUGAAGAUGACAAUCACGUUGCAGCAAUUCACUGCAAAGCUGGAAAGGGACAGACUGGUGUAAUCAUUUGUGCAUAUUUAUUACAUCGGGGCAAAUUUUUAAAGGCACAAGAGGCCCUCGAUUUCUCUCUCUUACCACUGAGCUAAAUCCCUGGACGCGAGGGCCUGGAUUUCUAUGGAGAAGUAAGGACCAGGGACAAAAAGGGAGUAACUAUUCUCAGUCAGAGGUGCUAUGAGUAUUAUUAUAGCUACCUGGAAUCGUCUGGAUUACAGGCCAGUGGCACUGUUUUUUCACAGGAUGAUGUUUGAAACUAUUCCAGUGCUCUGUGGCGGGACUUGCAAUCCUCAGUUUGUGGUCUGCCAGCUAAAGGUGAAGAUCCAUUCCUCCAGCUCAGGACCCACAAGUCGGGACAAGUUCAUGUACUUUGAGUUCCCUCAGCCGUCGCCUGUGUGUGGUGACAUGGAAGUAGAGUGCUUCCACAAACAGAACAACAUGCUAACAAAGGACAGAAUGUUUCAUUUUUAGCCAAAUGAAUUCUUCAUACCAGGGCCAGAGGAAACCUCAGGAAAAGUAGAAAAUGGAAGUCUAUGUGAUCAAGAAAUUGAUAAUAUUUGGAAUAUAGAGCGUGCAGAUAAUGAUAAAGAAUAUCUAGUACUUAUUUUAACAAAAAAUGAUCUCGACAAAGUAAAAAAGAUAAGGCAAACCGAUAUUUUUUCCAAAUUUUAAGGUGAAGCUGUACUUCACAGAAACAGUAGAGGGGUCAUCAAAUCCAGAGGCUAGCAGUUUAGCUUCUGCAACACCAGAUGUUAGUGACAGUGAACCUGAUCAUUACAUGCUGACACCACUGACUCUGCCCCAGAGAACGAGCCUUUUGAUAAAGAUCAGCACACAUAAAUCAUGAAAGUCUGAUUUUUUUUUUAUCAAAAGGGAUUAAAAACCAUGAAGACAAGCUUAAAAAUAAAGAAUUUUAUAUGUACAGUAACUUCUUCAGUGCCCAUCAGGUCAUUAUAAUGAAGUUCCUUGUCUUCAAAAUACCCCUUUUUGGUUUAAUUAAUGAAUUUUUGAGACAGCGUCUCACUCUGUAGUCAGGCUGGCCUUGAACUCACAGUGAUCGUCCUGCCUCAGCCUCCUGAGUGCUGGGAUUACAGGUGUGUGCCACCACACCCCGCUAAAAUAGCCCUCCUCCCUUUUUGCAAACAUCUCACUUAACUUUUUUGUUUUGCUGUGGUUUGUUUUUUUUUUGUACCUGGGAUCACACUCAGGUCCUUGUGCGGACUGUUUUCGGGGCAGCCCAGCUGCUCCGUCUGCGGCAGACUUUCGUUUAGGUCUGGACAGGUUUCAGUAACUCACUGUGGAUGUCAGCUAUGCGUUCCGGGCAGCCUGCCUACUCCCCAGAGUUGCCUAAGAUCUCUGUCAUUUCUGCACAGGCGAGUGUUUGGACCGUUUAUCCCAGGCUUCCUGUCAACAGCGACACCCUGGAGUCCUCCUGUUGGCGUCACGCUGCAUUGUUUUAAGCUGAAAUGUGCUGAUAUUCUUCCAACACAUUAUCACCGUAAUCGCUUUCUUUUGCUGUGGAAAUGAUCAAGAAAUUGUGCUUUGAUACAAGGAAGGGUGACGGGGCCACGUGGCACAGAGCUGGGAUUCCACAAUUAUCGUUUGUAAAAGGGAAACUUAUCAAAGAAGCCACGGGAGAACAUCUUGGGGCCACCUCUCGGAGUCAGAAAAUUUGAAACAUAUAUUUCACAGACGUGCCUUUUGCGGUAACCCUCUCUGCAUAAUGCAUAAGAUCUGAUUUAAUGUCAUUGUUAAUUCUGGUGUUCACAAUGGUGUUCUCUGAAGGGAGCCAUCAUUUUUCUUUCUUUUUUUAUUUUUUUUCCUGGCGACAGUACUCUGAGGCUGUUUUGAGGCUGAUCGGAAUUGUGAGAGUGCAGACGCCUUCCUGGGGCAGACACAGAUGCCAGGCGGGUUUCUCAGAGGUGUGGCCAGGGACAUGGUGCCCAGUUGCCUCGGGGACCACAUUGGCCACUCCUGGGAGCCCACUUAGGCCUGGGCUGCACCCCUGAGCCUGGGUGUCUGCGGGGGUCAGAGCUGGAGGGUUGUGUUAAAAAGUAAGGAAGAAUGAAAGGAAGGAACAAAGAAGGAAGGAAACAAAGGAAAAGUCUGUAUAGCAGAAUAGAAAAGAAAUGAAAUAAUGAUGAGUUUUAAAGAAGCACGAGGGCCCCAUUCUGGCCCAGGGUGGCUGCAAGUGACAGAGCUGGGAAGGACAGAGAGGCCAUGAUCAAGUCUGUUGAAGGCGACAGAGAGACCCAUGGGCUGAGGAGUGGGGCAGGACAUAGACGGUGACAGGGGCCCAGGCAGGAAGGAGCAGUAGGGGUGAUGGGGAGAGAAGAGUCUCGAAGACACGCUGAGGCCAGCCAGCUGGCGGCACCUCCGACUGCCCCGGCUCGGGGCCGGGUCCCCUGCAGUCUGCCCCUGGAGCUCUGGGACAGUGAGGUCACAGGCUGCGAUGCUCAGCUGGUGAGCAGUGGCUGGAGCCGCUCAGAGAAUGCCCAUGCAGGAAGCUUCUGGCCAGGCACCUCCACGCUCUCUGCCUGGGCACUGCAGCUGUGGAAGAGUUGCCCCAGAGGACCUGAUGGCUUUCAGAGCAGGGCCAGCCAUCUGGGAGGACCAAGAUCUGGUUUCAACUCAAAGAUCUAGGUGGUUCUGGGACAGCCAGGAAAUGUUCAAGACACAGUGCUGUAGUACAUAGCCCUUCCCUGUCCACAAGGGGGCGCUGACCCCUCACCCUCUCCGAGGCAGGUGGAGGAGGUUGAGCACGUGGGGAGACAGUCUUAUGGUUUCUGAAUCACAUCCUCAGAGCUGGAAGGAAGCAGGUGGUUGGGGCCUCACUGUAGGAUGAGAAGACUUAGGUCAGGUCCCCCAAAGUGGCAGAGUAGAGAACUGCACUGUUCAAUCCUGGCCCGGCCAUUUGCCGGCCAUGUGACUCUGAGCCCAUGGGGUCCCCAUUUGUGGGUUAGGAAUAAAAGCUUCACUGGACAAAGACCCACUCCCUGUCCCCAUGGGGAGAAACCACAUGGAGGGGGAUUGGUACUCAACUCCCAUCCUGGGGAGCCGGAGGGGACAUUCUAAGUGGCCUGUCCAGGGGAGGACACUGGUGUGGUCAGCCGAGCCCAUCCCCCGGGCCAGGGCUGAUGACCAGGGUAACUGGUUG
rnacentral:lncRNA from 1 species